rnacentral:lncRNA from 1 species
UUUAAACUCCUUUUUCAAAUUUUUAUGAGCAACAUUUAAUUUUUCAGAUUCAUUAAGCAAUUCAAGAAAAGAUUUUUGUAAAUCAAACUCACUAGUGUCAAGGCUAGAGCCACUUACUUGGCUUGUAGUGUCAUCAGUAGCAACCGUCAAACAUAGGUUUGCUUCUUCAAUAGAAUCACUUGAACUACAAGUGCUUGAUGCAUUAUCUUCCCAAGCUUUGUAUGCCUUCUUCUUUUUGUGAGAUUUCUUUGCUUUUCUUUCUUUACUUCUUUUGUUGCUUGAACAAUCAGCUUUCACAUGGCCUCUUUCACCACAUCCAUAACAUUUGAAGCUUGAUGCAGAGCCUUGAUUGUUCUCCUN